rnacentral:ncRNA from 1 species
AGAAGUUGCCUGGUAUAAGCCGCUAGAUUAAUAAGGCUAGCUGAUAAGAGGAUACCUCAUAAGGGUAUAUUUCCUACCUCGAACUCAGUCGCAAGAAUAUGGAUUAGCUACCUAUAUUCUUAGUGAACGUUAGUAACGUAGCUAUUUGAUUUUCAGUAUAGGAAACUGAGAAUUAAGUAGUUGAAUAACUCUCU